AACGAACGCCGGCGGCAUGCCUAACACAUGCAAGUCGAACGAGACCUUCGGGUCUAGUUGCUCACGGGUGCGUAACGCGUGGGAACCUGCCCUUAGGUUCGGAAUAACUCCCCGAAAGGGGUGCUAAUACCGGAUAAUGUCUUCGGACCAAAGAUUUAUCGCCUUUGGAUGGGCCCGAGUUGGAUUAGCUAGUUGGUAGGGUAAAAGCCUACCAAGGCGACGAUCCAUAGCUGGUCUGAGAGGAUGAUCAGCCACACUGGGACUGAGACACGGCCCAGACUCCUACGGAAGGCAGCAGUGGGGAAUAUUGGACAAUGGGCGAAAGCAUGAUCCAGCAAGGCCGCGUGAGUGAUGAAGGCGUUAGGGUUGUAAAGCUCUUUUACCCGGGAUGAUAAUGACAGUACCGGGAGAAUAAGCUCCGGCUAACUCCGUG
rnacentral:rRNA from 1 species